UUAUAAAUGCUGUGGUUCCUGGC
rnacentral:piRNA from 1 species